rnacentral:lncRNA from 10 species
CAAAAAAUAAAAAAUUAGCUGGGUGUGGUGGUGCAUGCUUGUAGUCCCAGCUACUCAGGAGGCUGAGGCUGGAGAAUUGCAUGAGACCAGGAAGUCAAGGCUGUGGUGAGCCAUGAUCGUACCACUGCACUCCAGCCUGGGUGACAGAAUGAGACCCUGUCUUCAGAUUUCUUGAUCUUUGUUUCAGUUUCAGGGUACCUGCAGAAUACAGACAUUUUGAGUUAAGAAAACCACACGUCUAUCUUCAAAAUUGAGAUUACCCUCUAUAUUUCAUUUUUCAUAAUUGCACAGAAAUGACAUCACCCAAUUUUCCAAAUUAUAUGACUUGAAUUUCACACUGGAUGUUUCAAAAAUUUGUUGAUUAACUUAUUGGAUAGUGACUCACUCAUUCACUUUGCUUUUUUUCCAUAGCACUUAUUAUCUUAUAACAUGUCGUAUACCUUAUUUAUUAUGGUUAUUGCUUAUUUUCUGUUGAUUAGGUUGUAAGCCCUGUGAGAUCAGAGAUCUAUUUUGAUGCACACCAAGUACCUAGGACAGUGUUUGACAUGGGGGAGCCACUCAGUAAAUAUUUUUUGAAUGAAAAAUUAUGUGAUCAAAUU